ensembl:snRNA U6 U6 spliceosomal RNA
GUGCUUGCUUAGGCAGCACAUAUACUAAAAUUGGAACGAUAGAAAGAAGAUUAGUACUAACCCCUGCACAAGGAUGACAUGCAAAUUCGUGAAGCGUUUCAUAUUUUG